rnacentral:misc_RNA from 1 species
AACUGAUACUACCUGCGGGAACCUGCGGAAGGAUCAUUAACGAGUUAGGGUCUUCUAGGCCUGACCUCCCAACCCUUUGUUUACUAUACCACUGUUGCUUCGGCGGGCCCGUCUUUACGACCGCCGGAGGAUCGCUGAAAGGCGUCGUCCUCUGGCCCGCGUCCGCCGAGAGCCAACCACUUAAAAUUCUGUAUGAAUCGUGUCUUACGUCUAAGUCUAUGAUUAAAUCAAAAAAAAGCA